rnacentral:rRNA from 1 species
GAUGAACGCUGGCGGCGUGCGUAACACAUGCAAGUUGAACGACGGUGCCAUGAAGUGGUAACACGGAGUGGUAUACGGAGUAGCGGACGGGUGAGUAAAGCAUGAGAAUCUGUCCUGUCGAGGGGGAUAACGUUCGGAAACGGACCCUAAUACCCCAUAGUCCGAGAGGUUAAAGGCAGCGAUGCGCGGCAGGAGGAGCUCGUGUCCUAUCAGCUGGUUGGUGAGGUAACGGCUCACCAAGGCUUCGACGGGUAGCCGGCCUGAGAGGGUGACCGGCCACACUGGAACUGAGAAACGGUCCAGACUCCUACGGGAGGCAGCAGUGGGGAAUAUUGGGCAAUGGGAGGAAUCCUGACCCAGCGACGCCGCGUGAACGAAGACGGCCUUCGGGUUGUAAAGUUCUUUUAUGUGGGAAGAAGGAAGUGACGGUACCACAUGAAUAAGCCCCGGCUAACUACGUGCCAGCAGCCGCGGUAAUACGUAGGGGGCGAGCGUUGUCCGGAAUUACUGGGCGUAAAGGGCACGCAGGCUGUGCUUCAAGUCAGCUGUAAAAGGAUGCGGCUUAACCGUGUUAUGCGGCUGAGACUGAGGUGCUGGAGUACCGGAGAGGCAAGUGGAAUUCCCAGUGUAGCGGUGAAAUGCGUAGAUAUUGGGAAGAACAUCGGUGGCGAAGGCGACUUGCUGGACGGUAACUGACGCUGAGGUGCGAAAGCCAGGGUAGCGAACGGGAUUAGAUACCCCGGUAGUCCUGGCCGCAAACGAUGAAUGCUAGGUGUGCGAGCAGAGAUGUUGGUGUGCCGCAGUUAACGCGAUAAGCAUUCCGCCUGGGGAGUACGGUCGCAAGAUUGAAACUCAAAGGAAUUGACGGGGGCCCGCACAAGCGGUGGAGCACGUGGUUUAAUUCGAUGCAAACCGAAGAACCUUACCUGGGUUUGACAUGUAUGUGGUAGGAGAUGGAAACAUUGACGACGCUGCUUUCGGGCAGUGAGCAUACACAGGUGCUGCAUGGCUGUCGUCAGCUCGUGUCGUGAGAUGUUGGGUUAAGUCCCGCAACG